rnacentral:pre_miRNA from 1 species
CAUGGGGUGAAUCUUGGCCCUCCGAAACAAAUCCAACGGCUGAGAUUCGUCCACGUUAUCAUGAGUAAAAGUUUUACUCCUAGUUAAAUUUUUACUCCUGAGUAAAUCUGCGAGUAAAAUGUUUUCUCGUGAUGACGUGGAUGAAUGUCAGCCGUUGGAUUUAUUUCAUAGGGCCGAGAUUCACCCUAUG